rnacentral:rRNA from 1 species
UACAGAGGGUGCGAGCGUUAAUCGGAAUUACUGGGCGUAAAGCGUGCGUAGACGGUUAUUUAAGUCGGGUGUGAAAGCCCCGGGCUCAACCUGGGAAUUGCAUUCGAGACUGAAUAGCUAGGGUACGGUAGAGGGGAGCGGAAUUUCCGGUGUAGCGGUGAAAUGCGUAGAUAUCGGAAGGAACAUCAGUGGCGAAAGCGGCUUCCUGGACCAGUACCGACGUUCAGACACGAAAGCCAGGGGAGCGAACGGG